rnacentral:rRNA from 1 species
GACGAACCGUGCGAACGUUGUUCGGAAUCACUGGGCUUAAAGGGAGCGUAGGCGGGCUAUCAAGUCUGGGGUGAAAUCCCACGGCUCAACCGUGGAACUGCCUUAGAUACUGACGGCCUCGAGGGAGAUAGGGGCAUGCGGAACAGAUGGUGGAGCGGUGAAAUGCGUUGAUAUCAUCUGGAACUCCGGUGGCGAAGGCGGCACGCUGGACCUCAUCUGACGCUGAGGCGCGAAAGCCAGGGGAGCAAACGGG